rnacentral:lncRNA from 13 species
ACGCAUCGCGCCGCGGCAUGAUAAAGGUAACCGCGCGUACUCCUGCGAUCGAGAUUUGUCGUCUACCGUGAAGUGCCGUCGAGGAUGUUGCGCGACUGUCGAGGUGAUUAUUGCUAAGUAGUAAUGUUUUCGUAAGUGACUGCCAUAAAAAAGCAAUAAGCAGGAACAAGAGAGGAGGAGGAGAAUCUGGCAGGCACCAAGCAAUAGCGGGGCAACACGAGACUACGACGUUGAAAACUCCGCUGCUGCGCAUCGUGUGUCGAAAACUGAAUAGUCUAGCGUCGAUGGCGAUAGAGUUCGCAAUUUUCCACCGCGGUAUCGUAGGAUCAUCCGUUUCAAACAUUUCCAUGGCGCCGUGUCUGGAGUCGUUAUUAGUGCUACUAUCUAUAUUAGUCUAAUGAUGACGCGUAUACCAUGUUUUUCCUUAUCGAUCGAGAACGUCUAGAGGAUAAGCAAUAGCAUUCUUGGAAAAUUCCUUUCUGGUAUUGAUUAAUUAAGAAUGGCACCGCCUCGUGUGGGAGCAGACUGUUGUUUCGUUCGUUUACGCGUCGGGUAGGGUCCAAGUUCAGUGCCCGACUUGGCUCUCUAUAACCGGGAGGAAGCAACAGAAUUUUUUCUCCAUGUUCUUUUUCUUAUCGUUGGCGCCAGCAAUAGCUUAAGUGUUCUCAUUAAUCGUACUCGCUGGACUUGUCGCGAAAUACGUUACGAAUGAAAGGUGUCGGCGGCAUGCGAACGCCAUACGUUUUAAAAAUAUUCAUUGACUUCUAAUUUGCUGCGGGAGUUAAUUAAACGCGUGCGAUGCGUAAUGUGCAAAAAAAAGCGACAUAAGCUACGUAACGUCCCUAUCCGUAAUUAAACAUCUUUUACUUUGCAAUUAAAAACAGUUGUACCCCCAAUUUUUCUUAUCUUUAAUUUAUAAUUGGGGACGGAAUCGUUAUUAUAGCGAUUAUUCUCGAUCAAACGUUAGUUUCAUUCUCGGCAAACCGGUCGUGUAUUAAUGGAAACCGAGGCCUGGCUACACUUGGAUAGAUUUUCUCGUAAUGCAGCAGCCAAUGAUCUUUUUAUAAAAUUGUGUCAGGUCACAGAGAGGAGCGUGUAUUCCGAGAAAUGGUGUAGAAUGUAUUUUGCAAUUUUAGACACUUGUGGCUCGAGCUCAGCGUUUUAUAUGGAAAGUCAUUAACACCGCGCUAAAUCGAUGUUUUGAAACUUGAUAAGAAAAAUACUGAUUAGAAAAGACGACAGCGAUUCACAUUUCGUCUAUAACGGCGAUCGCGGGUAAACAGGAAGAGAAUCAAAACUACUAUUUAGAUAAAAGUAAUAAGGCGGACCUCGAAAAAGUUAUCAAUCUGAUGAUUCAACAAAUGUUUGUCGGACACGUGUCAACAAAAAAAUAUGAAGAAUCAGUUCCCUCUUACAGAAAAAUCUUAAAUGACUAUACUAAAUUGCAAAAAUAUUCUUAACCCUGACUCCCUACACAUGAGUCUGACGGACCCUGCGAGUAUUCAUUUUUUGCGAUU